rnacentral:rRNA from 2 species
CGAACGAACUCUGGUAUUGAUUGAUGCUUGCAUCAUGAUUUACAUUUGAGUGAGUGGCGAACUGGUGAGUAACACGUGGGAAACCUGCCCAGAAGCGGGGGAUAACACCUGGAAACAGAUGCUAAUACCGCAUAACAACUUGGACCGCAUGGUCCGAGUUUGAAAGAUGGCUUCGGCUAUCACUUUUGGAUGGUCCCGCGGCGUAUUAGCUAGAUGGUGGGGUAACGGCUCACCAUGGCAAUGAUACGUAGCCGACCUGAGAGGGUAAUCGGCCACAUUGGGACUGAGACACGGCCCAAACUCCUACGGGAGGCAGCAGUAGGGAAUCUUCCACAAUGGACGAAAGUCUGAUGGAGCAACGCCGCGUGAGUGAAGAAGGGUUUCGGCUCGUAAAACUCUGUUGUUAAAGAAGAACAUAUCUGAGAGUAACUGUUCAGGUAUUGACGGUAUUUAACCAGAAAGCCACGGCUANACUACGUGCCAGCAGCCGCGGUAAUACGUAGGUGGCAAGCGUUGUCCGGAUUUUGGGCGUAAAGCGAGCGCAGGCGGUUUUUUAAGUCUAUGUGAAAGCCUUCGGCUCAACCGAAGAAGGCAUCGGAAACUGGAAACUUGAGUGCAGAAGAGGACAGUGGAACUCCAUGUGUAGCGGUGAAAUGCGUAGAUAUAUGGAAGAACACCAGUGGCGAAGGCGGCUGUCUGGUCUGUAACUGACGCUGAGGCUCGAAAGUAUGGGUAGCAAACAGGAUUAGAUACCCUGGUAGUCCAUACCGUAAACGAUGAAUGCUAAGUGUUGGAGGGUUUCCGCCCUUCAGUGCUGCAGCUAACGCAUUAAGCAUUCCGCCUGGGGAGUACGGCCGCAAGGCUGAAACUCAAAGGAAUUGACGGGGGCCCGCACAAGCGGUGGAGCAUGUGGUUUAAUUCGAAGCUACGCGAAGAACCUACCAGGUCUUGACAUACUAUGCAAAUCUAAGAGAUUAGACGUUCCCUUCGGGGACAUGGAUACAGGUGGUGCAUGGUUGUCGUCAGCUCGUGUCGUGAGAUGUUGGGUUAAGUCCCGCAACGAGCGCAACCCUUAUUAUCAGUUGCCAGCAUUAAGUUGGGCACUCUGGUGAGACUGCCGGUGACAAACCGGAGGAAGGUGGGGAUGACGUCAAAUCAUCAUGCCCCUUAUGACCUGGGCUACACACGUGCUACAAUGGAUGGUACAACGAGUUGCGAACUCGCGAGAGUAAGCUAAUCUCUUAAAGCCAUCUCAGUUCGGAUUGUAGGCUGCAACUCGCCUACAUGAGGUCGGAAUCGCUAGUAAUCGCGGAUCAGCAUGCCGCGGUGAAUACGUUCCCGGGCCUUGUACACACCGCCCGUCACACCAUGAGAGUUUGUAACACCCAAAGUCGGUGGGGUAACCUUUUAGGAACCAGCCGCCUAAGGUGGGACAGAUGAUUAGGGUGAAGUCGUAACAAGGUAGCC